rnacentral:rRNA from 1 species
GAUGAACGCUGGCGGCGUGCCUAAUACAUGCAAGUCGAGCGAACAGACGAGGAGCUUGCUCCUCUGACGUUAGCGGCGGACGGGUGAGUAACACGUGGAUAACCUACCUAUAAGACUGGGAUAACUUCGGGAAACCGGAGCUAAUACCGGAUAACAUGUUGAACCGGAUGGUUCAACAGUGAAAGACGGUCUUGCUGUCACUUAUAGAUGGAUCCGCGCCGCAUUAGCUAGUUGGUAAGGUAACGGCUUACCAAGGCAACGAUGCGUAGCCGACCUGAGAGGGUGAUCGGCCACACUGGAACUGAGACACGGUCCAGACUCCUACGGGAGGCAGCAGUAGGGAAUCUUCCGCAAUGGGCGAAAGCCUGACGGAGCAACGCCGCGUGAGUGAAGAAGGUCUUCGGAUCGUAAAACUCUGUUAUUAGGGAAGAACAAAUGUGUAAGUAACUAUGCACGUCUUGACGGUACCUAAUCAGAAAGCCACGGCUAACUACGUG